AGUAGGAAAGCACAGGCAAUGCACCACAUCUCACAUACUGCUGGAUGAAAAAUAAUAGCAAAGUCGGUCAAGAUUAUCAAACUUGAUCCAAAAAUUUAAACCACAAGAUCUCAAAUUCAUAUUCUAUCCUUAAUACAUCUUAAAAUAAACUUCGACACCUCACUAGCUUCAUAUCAUACUAAGAAUAACAUAACAUCCAAACAGUCUAAGAUAUGAAUAAAACUUUCCAAAGAAAGACAUUCUUCAGCAGAAUAACUACUUAAGCAGAAGCAUUCAAAAAUGCUCUACCAGGUUGACGCUCUGCCAACGGUCCAUGACACCCAAGAAGCUUGGCAUUGACACCAUCUGAUACAAUGCGGUUCUCUGCCUUCAACUUCACAUAAUCAGUACGGUUGAACUUGGUAAAGCCCCACUUCCUGCUGACAAUGAUCUUUUGGCGACCAGGGAACUUGAACUUUGCACGGCGGAGAGCCUCCUGUGCAUGAUGGCUGUUGCUGUCCUUACAACGAACAGACAGAAGAACCUGGCCAAUGGCAACUCUUGCACAAGUUCCCUGAGGUUUGCCAAAAGCACCCCUCAUACCAGUUUGGAGCCUAUCAGCUCCAGCACAUGAAAGCAUUUUGUUGAUACGCAAAACAUGGAAUGGAUGUACCCUGACCCUCAAAUGGAAAGCAUCCUUUCCAGCAUACUUGGCCAUAUAUUUGUUGCAAGCAAUACGUGCAGCCUCAAGAGCUUCACUGGAGACAUUUUCCUUUUCCCAAGACACCAAAUGCACACAGAAUGGGAACUCAUCCACUCCUUUCUUCUUCAUCCCUACAUCAUAAAUCCUGAUUUUAGAAUCAGGCACACCACGGCAAAAGCGUGAUUUUGGGUAUGGCUUAUUUUUUAUUUGGCGGUAACAUCUUGCAGGUCUCCUCCCCAUGGCGACGGCUCGUCCGCAAAAUGCGCAGCAGAAACCCUAGAAAAGCAAAUGAGAGAAGACAGAG
rnacentral:misc_RNA from 1 species